AUUGUCCUAGUCAUCAAAGAAAAAUAAUGGAUUAUGAAUGGCGUGCUUUAUCCUUGAGGGUGCUUUCUCAAACUGCCAUACCCAGAUGUAAAGGCAGUAGAUGGCUACCACAACCCUGUAAAGGCAGGACCACAAGGGAUCAUACCCUUCAGGUUGCCCCAUUGAGCAAAUCACCCCAACCAACUGAUAUGCUAACUGAAGUCACAGGGAACUAUGGAAUGGGCCAAGAAGGAAGCUUCAAUACCAGCUACAGUAAAGAGGACUGUUGCAUUUAUUGUUUGUUUGUUUUGCUUGCUACUAGUGUUCCUCUCUUGCACACCAAGCCCUUUCUUUGCCUUUUUAAAACGGAAUGCUAUAAUACAUAAAUUUCCCUUCUUUUUCUGUCCUUUUGCCAGAAAAAGGCCUACAUUGCAAUAUAUGAAGGUAGGAUUAUAGUAGAAAAUGAGGAAUGGCUAUCAUGUAGAAAUUCUGUACUUAAAGGACAGAACAUCAACUCUAAGUGAAGUAAAAUGUCACAGUUUUGGGUUUUCUCCCAUUCAGAAGGUUAAUACAUGAAAUAACCUUUUGUGGUGGUACGUGAAAUAACUGAAUUGCACAGUGGAGAGGAAUGGCUGUGGAAGAAGGAAGCCCUUUUAUGGGUCACAUAUGCACAAGUGACCAUGUCCUAGUGUGACCAGCUACUCUGGUUUGCUAAAGGCUGAGGGGGAUACCAGGAUGCUGGACUCUUCGGUGCUUAAACUGGGAUAGUUUUGGGAAAACUGAGACAAGUCGGUUGCGCUAUUAUGCCCCCUGUCUACAUAACAGAUUAAUUCAGAUGAGGGCAUAUCCUAAACCAGACCAUUUAGACUCUUUGCCCUAGAAAUUUUAAAUGAGGCAGAAACACAAAGAGAAUAUAGUUACUCAUUAGAACUGAGUCACACAAAUGGCACUUCCUUAUAGAAAAGAUCUAUUAACACCCUUUGCCAAAGACCCAGGACCUGCCCUGUUUCCUUUGGUUACAGGAGAUAUCCCUGUAUAAUUCCAAAACUUUUUCUUUUUUGGCUAGUCAAAGACGAUUGCUGUUGCUUGCAACCAAAAUAAUCUUAAGGAGGGUAUUUAUGUCCAAUCCCUAUAUAAGGUAAUGUGCUCCGAGAGCCCCUUCUGAAUGGGCACUGAGCUAAAUGAAGCAUACUCAUUGCCACAGCAAACAAGACCAGGUAUGAACACUAAACUCAAACAGGCCUAGAAAGUCUCACAUGCAUGGAUUUUGCAAUGCGCUUACAGGACUCCACUCUUGCAUGCUUAAUUAAAAUGUUGUCUAAACCUAGAAUUAGGUUAGGCAUGAGUAAGUUGUUCAAAACUGAUGGGAAAAAGGGGAGAGCAACAGGAAUGAUGAAAAGGAAAUCAAGAUAAGCAGAGAAAGAUGGAAAAAGAGAAGACUUAUCUGAGAG